UCUGCACAUUGUUAGAGCUUGGAGUUGAGGCCAGCAGCUGGCCUAUGAACUCACAAGUGGAGGUAGUAUGCUAUAUGAGGAGCGCGUCUUUUGUUAACAACAAAAAAUCAGUGGAGUUUGAUAGUAAUUCUUGCUACAAGU
rnacentral:snoRNA from 1 species